CAGUAGCCACGGUAAAACGUAGGGGGCGAGCGUUGUCCGAAGUUACUGGGCGUAAAGCGCGCGUAGGCGGCUUCUUAAGUCUGAGGUGAAAGGUUCAACGCUUAACGUGAACAGUGCCUUGGAUACUGGGGAGCUUGAGUAUGGGAGAGGGCAGUGGAAUGGCUGGUGUAGCGGUGAAAUGCGUAGAUAUCAGUCGGAACACCCAUGGCGAAGGCAGCUGCCUGGCCUAAUACUGACGCUGAGGUGCGAAAGCGUGGGGAGCGAACGGGAUUAGAUACCCCGGUAGUCCCUGUCUCUUAUA
rnacentral:rRNA from 1 species